ACACGUAGUCAAUCUAACCUAUGGAUGGGGAUAACCUCGGGAAACUGAGAAUAAUACCCAAUAGGCCAUUAUGCCUGGAAUGGUUUAUGGCUUAAAUGAUUUAUCGCCAUAGGAUGGGACUGCGGCCUAUCAGCUUGUUGGUGAGGUAAUGGCCCACCAAGGCUAUAACAGGUACGGGCUCUGAGAGGAGGAGCCCGGAGAUGGGUACUGAGACACGGACCCAGGUCCUAUGGGGCGCAGCAGGCGAGAAAACUUUGCAAUGUGCGAAAGCACGACAAGGUUAAUCCGAGUGAUUUCUGCUAAAGGAAUCUUUUGUUAGUCGUAGAACCACUAGUGAAUAAGGGGUGGGCAAGUUCUGGUGUCAGCCGCCGCGGUAAAACCAGCACCUCAAGUGGUCAGGAGGAUUAUUGGGCCUAAAGCAUCCGUAGCCGGCUAGGUAAGUUUUCUGUUAAAUCCAUGCGCUUAACGUAUGGGCUGCAGGGAAUACUGCCUAGCUAGGGAGUGGGAGAGGUAGACGGUACUCCGUAGGAAGGGGUAAAAUCCUUUGAUCUAUGGAUGACCACCUGUGGCGAAGGCGGUCUACUAGAACACGUCCGACGGUGAGGGAUGAAAGCUGGGGGAGCAAACCGGAUUAGAUA
rnacentral:rRNA from 1 species